GCCUGGGUGGCUCAGUCGGUUGAGCGUCUGACUUCAGCUCAGGUCACGAUCUCACGGUUCGUGAGUUCGAGCCCCGUGUCAGGCU
rfam:Felis catus isolate Cinnamon breed Abyssinian chromosome A3, whole genome shotgun sequence.